rnacentral:rRNA from 1 species
CCUUGAAAUACCACCCUUUAAUGGCUGGUGUUCUAACGUAGACCCGUUACCCGGGUUGCGGACAGUGUCUGGUGGGUAGUUUGACUGGGGCGGUCUCCUCCCAAAGAGUAACGGAGGAGCACGAAGGUUGGCUAAUCCUGGUCGGACAUCAGGAGGUUAGUGCAAUGGCAUAAGCCAGCUUGACUGCGAGCGUGACGGCGCGAGCAGGUGCGAAAGCAGGUCAUAGUGAUCCGGUGGUUCUGAAUGGAAGGGCCAUCGCUCAACGGAUAAAAGGUACUCCGGGGAUAACAGGCUGAUACCGCCCAAGAGUUCAUAUCGACGGCGGUGUUUGGCACCUCGAUGUCGGCUCAUCACAUCCUGGGGCUGAAGUAGGUCCCAAGGGUAUGGCUGUUCGCCAUUUAAAGUGGUACGCGAGCUGGGUUUAGAACGUCGUGAGACAGUUCGGUCCCUAUCUGCCGUGGGCGCUGGAGAAUUGAGGGGGGCUGCUCCUAGUACGAGAGGACCGGAGUGGACGCAUCACUGGUGUUCGGGUUGUCAUGCCAAUGGCACUGCCCGGUAGCUAAAUGCGGAAGAGAUAAGUGCUGAAAGCAUCUAAGCACGAAACUUGCCCCGAGAUGAGUUCUCCCUGAGACCUUGAGUCUCCUGAAGGAACGUUGAAGACGACGACGUUGAUAGGUCGGGUGUGUAAGCGCAGCGAUGCGUUGAGCUAACCGAUACUAAUGAACCGUGAGGCUUAACCUUACAACGCCGAAGGUGUUU